ACAGAGGCCUCGAGCGUUAGACGGAAUCACUGGGCUUAAAGCGUGUGUAGGCGGAAGGGUAAGUACCUUGUGAAAUCCCACGGCUCAACCGUGGAACUGCUUGGUAUACUGCUUUUCUUGAGCAAUCCAGGGGCGGGUGGAACAGAUGGUGGAGCGGUGAAAUGCGUAGAUAUCAUCUGGAACGCCAAUGGUGAAGACAACCCGCUGGGGAUUUGCUGACGCUGAGACACGAAAGCCAGGGGAGCGAACGGGAUUAGAUACCCCGGUAGUCCUGGCCCUAAACGAUGUCCACUAGAUUGUGGCGGCUCUGACGCCGUCAUGGUCGAAGCAAAAGUGUUAAGUGGACCGCCUGGGAAGUACGGUCGCAAGGCUA
rnacentral:rRNA from 1 species